AAAAUAAUUAUUAUAUAGUUGCAAUCAAAAUCAAACAUAUGUUUACACAUACGAUAUAUUGCAGCAAAUAUCGCUAUGCAUAAACAUUGUAAAUAUGUAAACUUAACUUAAUAAUAAUUAAUACUAGUAUAUAAUUAAUUAAUAACAUGAACUUUAGAACUUUAAUAUCAAUAAUUUUUAUCAAUUGUUAAUUCUUAUUGUUCAUAGUCUUUGACUUGCCAUAUAUGUAGUUACUCUCGAUAACUCACCGAUAACUAUGUAACAACUUACUACUGCACAAACGUUGUAUGGUGACAGUUGUUCAUAUUCUUUUAGCUAUUGCAACUCAAAUGUAAAAUGAAAAAAAAAAUAAUUAUCUAUAUUAAUUAUCAUUAAUUUUCUGUAAUUUAAACUAUUUUUAGCUUAUGCCCAUAUUGGAGAAAAUGACCAGACUUUGUCUCGAUUUUUCUCCAUAAUUCCAAUUAGCUACUCUGGGCUAAUUUCUCAGUGCAUCUUGCAGAUGCUUAUUAAUGGAAAAAGAAAAUUGAAUUAUAUUAAUUAAUGCUAUCUAUUACUAUUGUAAAACUUAUAUCUUAGUUAUCAUAUUAGUCUAUUAUCAGCUACUCAAGCACUUUAUUGUCAUUUUGUAUUAUCUUUAAAUUGCUCUUUUUAUCUGUAUUUUGUAACAUUAAGCUGCACUGUUAUUCUUGUGCACUUAUGGCCAUUUAAAUUGAAUCAUUUUAUGAAAAGUUUUGCUGCUGGUCAGCUGAUCAUGUAUGAGUAGGGAAGAAGCGGAGAUCACUAAUGUGUGUUCUGCCUAGACAUACAAACAGAAAAACGAACAGAAAUUGCUGAAUCUGUAAUUGAACAGAGUUCAGUAAAUUGCCAAUAAUGAUGACCACUUACCUGCUCUCCCGAUGGAUGCAGUUGAUUUACUGAAUCUGUAAUUGAACAGAUCUCAGUAAACUGUCAAUAAUGAUGUCCACAUACCUGCUUUCUGCCAUUUGAGGAUCUGAUGGUGCUGGUGCUAGCUACCAGCCAGUUCGAGAUGCCUAAUAUUUACCAUGUGUCGCUGGUCCAAAUUGCGGUGCCAGCAGCCAUUCAUCUUGUCCUGCAUAAUUUCCACCGAUUGUGCUGCCACUGACGGAGGCCGUCUGUCCCUGAUGGUCCUGAUGGUUUCCUCGCCUAGAUGUCUCCUCACCUGUAAAUAAAUAGAAAAUAAUUAGUAUUAUUAGCUAAGUUAAUUUAAGUUUUCCUAUUGUUAUUUGUAAAUAUAGUUCUAAGUCACAAUAGCUCCAAGUUGCCAUUCAAAAUGAUCGCAUAUCGAUAACAUUUAUUAACUACGAUAGUAAUGCCAAUAAUCUACUCAGCCCUGGCUGAGCAGUUCCCCAGCAACUCGAGCCCUGACUGCUCUGCGUAGCAUGUUUUCAGGCGCCACUUAAUUUCUAAACAAAUGAUACUAGGUAUCGAUUGAGAUAUUUACAGCCCACGCCCUGCCAUGCCUGGUGGAGGUGAAUGGCAGGAGUGGGCAGCCCAGCCAAUUGCUCGUUGGAUGGCAGCGAGAUCGGUCGAUCGGUCGAGAGCGCAGCCGCCAGCAGG